rnacentral:rRNA from 1 species
GACAGAGGGUGCAAACGUUGUUCGGAAUUACUGGGCGUAAAGCGCGUGUAGGCGGCUCUGUAAGUCGGGUGUGAAAUCCCACGGCUCAACCGUGGAAGUGCACUCGAAACUACAGGGCUAGAGUCCUGGAGAGGAAGGUGGAAUGCUUGGUGUAGAGGUGAAAUUCGUAGAUAUCAAGCGGAACACCGGUGGCGAAGGCGGCCUUCUGGACAGAUACUGACGCUGAGACACGAAAGCGUGGGGAGCAAACAGG